CCCAAGAGGUAAAAACUUUAUUUUGCUAUCUGCUUUGAGUGCUUUCCUUUCAUCCGCUUCUUUAAUCAAGACUCCUUGACCAGUUUCCUUCCAAGGCAAAGGCAUGACGUACGAUUCAAUUCUUCUCCCAUAAGAUAAGUGGUUUCUUCUCUAUUAAGAGCAUUUUUUUUGCUAGUCUAUGUGCUUACAAGUUCUCUGAUCUAGGAAUAUGCUGAAAAAUAAGUUCUUGAAAACAUGAUUUCUUAUUCUGAAUGUCUUUGAUAAUACCUCCAAUCACUGAUUUGUUUGUUGAAGUCGUCUGACAUUUUUAUUAUUGUUUUAGAGUCCCCCAUGAGUUUAACUAAUUGAGUUCUUAGUGAAAUCCCUAACUUUGUACCGUCUAAACAUGCAUAUGCUUCUGUUGCGAAAGGCGAGGGAACAUUUCUAUGAAUAACCGUCUUUAACACCAGUAAAUUUCCCCUUAGGUCCUAUCCCACCAGACCUAUCACUGAUUUGAAGGUUCUACUAUCGAAUGUUGCAUCAAAAUGGAUCGUUGUUCUCGGUAUGUCCUCUUGUAUUCUAUAACUUCUGUUCAUUUUUCCAUUAUUCUUCAAAACUUUUAUUCCUUUAUAUUCUACCGUAUGCCUCUGAUUGUUUUGUGCUAAAACCCUUCCUGUUGUAUUUUUCCCUCAUGUAUGAGUUGGUUUCUGGAGAACCAUAUCAGCCAUAAAGCAUAAUAGAAGAGUCAACAUUGGUCGUUGUUGCUUCUCUUAAAAACCCAGGGCAUUCUCGGAAGACAUGAAGGCUUUCUUCUGUCUAGGAGCAGCAACGAGGGCAUCUAUCAUUUGAAGUGACUUUCCUGUACCUGAGAUUAGCAAGAUUAGGGAUAUAAUCCCAGGAAAUCCGCCAAAUAGUAAUUGCAAUUUUUGAGGGUAGCUGUAGGCUCCAUAAUUUCUUGUAAAAUUCUUUUAUCUCGGUCUGUAAUAAGUAAUUAAUAGGAUUCGGAUUAGCAUCUUGUAAUAGUUUACAGGCACUGCAUACUGAAAACUUGCCAAACAAUUCUCUUUUCCAAAUUUGAGUAUCCUCGUGCUCAGUCACUGCAAGACGGAUCUAUAGAAUUUUUUGAGCAGUUUCCUCUUGAAAGAUAGAAAUAUUGUCUCCUCUGCCCACUCUCCAACACAUCCUUUUUUGAAGAAGUCUAUUUGCUGCCCAGAUACUCUUUCAGGCAAGUGAAGCCGUCAAAGAAAAUUCUUUUCAAAACUGUUUUGGGGAUUCCUUCCGUUCAUAACCAACUGGGUGGAUUACGUAGAGGCCGGGGUCAAAUAGAUUGUGGCUAGGUUCGACAGCAGAUCAGAUUACUCGUUGUUAAGGCGUCACUGUCUACUCAGAAUAAACAUUCGGUUUGAAAGCUAGAAAUGCUAUCCCACACUCUCAAUCAUCUAAAUAGGAGUAGUCUGAAGACACCGGUUACAAAAACAAGAAAGCAAAUCAAAGACUAAAGACAAAAAAAACCUAAAAACUCAUGCCAAGGACGGCAGACAAUAUCAUGCUAGGGUAGUAGUCUUUGAAUUUAUCUCCAUAUCUAUAUUUCUCAAUAGAUUUGUUCAAGAUCCUCCUUUUAUUUCAUUAUUUCAAUAAUAAUAUUGAAUGCAAAA